rnacentral:rRNA from 1 species
UAGGGAAUCUUCGGCAAUGGACGAAAGUCUGACCGAGCAACGCCGCGUGAGUGAAGAAGGUUUUCGGAUCGUAAAACUCUGUUGUUAGAGAAGAACAAGGACGUUAGUAACUGAACGUCCCCUGACGGUAUCUAACCAGAAAGCCACGGCUAACUACGUGCCAGCAGCCGCGGUAAUACGUAGGUGGCAAGCGUUGUCCGGAUUUAUUGGGCGUAAAGCGAGCGCAGGCGGUUUCUUAAGUCUGAUGUGAAAGCCCCCGGCUCAACCGGGGGAGGUGAUUGGAAACUGGGAGACUUGAGUGCAGAAGAGGAGAGUGGAAUUCCAUGUGUAGCGGUGAAAUGCGUAGAUAUAUGGAGAAACACCAGUGGCGAAGGCGGCUCUCUGAUCUGUAACUGACGCUGAGGCUCGAAAGCGUGGGGAGCAAACAGG